GACGAACGCUGGCGGCGUGCCUAACACAUGCAAGUCGAACGGAGAAAUUCAGCAAUGGAUUUCUUAGUGGCGAACGGGUGAGUAACGCGUAGACAACCUGCCUCCAAGAUGGGGAAAAAACUGCGAAAGUGGUGCCAAUACCGAAUGUGUCGCUCUUGUCGCAUGACGAGUGCGGGACAGGUGGCCUCCAUUUAUAAGCGCCCGCUUGGCGCUGGGUCUGCGUCUGAUUAGCUAGUUGGUGAGGUAACGGCUGACCAAGGCGACGAUCAGUGGGCGGUCUGAGAGGAUGAACGGCCACACUGGGACUGAGACACGGCCCAGACUCCUACGGGAGGCAGCAGUGGGGAAUCUUCCGCAAUGGACGAAAGUCUGACGGAGCAACGCCGCGUGAGUGAAGAAGGUUUUCGGAUUGUAAAGCUCCGUCUUUUGGGACGAAUGUGCUCUUUGUAAAUAAUGAGGAGCAAUGACGGUACCGAAGGAGGAAGCCACGGCUAACUACGUGCCAGCAGCCGCGGUAACAC
rnacentral:rRNA from 1 species